CAGGGUAGUAGGGGAAAACGAGUGCUGCCGCGGUGGCCAAUUGGUCGAUCCAGAUUUGUUGAUUUCGGCGGCCACUUUGUUUUUUCUUAAAUAGGCCCGUAUUUUUUUACUGUAUUUUCUUAUUUAUCAUCAAUAUUUGAGCUUUUUAGUGGUGUUUUUCGUACUCAGCUUUCAAAUUUACCCUAUGUACAUCUAUUUCCAGUCAUUUUGUCUUAAUUUUUUUACCAGUUAUCUUUCUCUCUCUUGCCUAUAGGAACUGUCAAAAUGGUGAUAUUUCCUUCAGUAACCAGCUUUUUUCCCAUCAAAACACCCCUAUUUUCUUUGUAAAAUAUCAAUUAUGGGGUAGGGCUUGGGACCCUUUUUCUGAAGAAAUUACCAGUAUUAUUGGUUAUCAGUGGAAUUUUCUUCAUCGUUAACUAUGAAGGCUGGAAUAAGAACAUGUUCCUGUGUUAAACAACCCCAUACACAUUCAGAUUCAGUUAUAUAUUCUUAGUUUAGUUAAAA